CUGAAAACUUCAAAAUGUCCAGGAACUGAUAUAGAAAUAGGAGAAUGAUGAUUUUGGAUAAAUUCACAUUUUAUUUAUUUUAUUUGAAAGUAAAAAAAAAAGAGGACAGCAGGGACUGGGCAAGGCAGAGACCACAAGCCAGGAACUCAAUAUGGGUCCAUCAUAGGCAGCACAGGGACCCAAGUACGUGAGCCAUCACCUGCUGACCCAGUUGGGGUGCAUUACCAGAGAGCUUGGAUCAGGAACAGAGUGAUGAUCCUGAAUCCACGGACUCAAGUAAGGUAUGUUAGUGUCCUUGCAGCACCUUAACUGCUGUGAUAAAUAUGUGACCAUUUUUAAGAAAAUCAAAAAAUGUUAAAAUGUAUUUUCACAUUUAGUGAAUUUUAACUGUUUGGCACUCACUUGAUUUUCACCAACCAAUCCCAGACACAAAGCCAGGUGUCCUGGGCAGGGUGGCCAACAACAGCCAGAGGAGCCACGGAUAGAGACAGUGUCCCUAGAUGCCGUGCCCAUCCUGCGUGGCCACCACUGACACAGCUUCAUCCUCAGCAACUCUGCGAAGACCUCCAGGUCGGUGUGCAGCCCAACAUGGCCGGGCUGCAGGAGGCAGGUAGUAAGUGAUCUCCCCGCAAGAGCAGGGAAUGGACAAAUCACUUUUCCUCUAAAAAUCCCACUCCUCAACACACGACCCUUGGUGAUGAAAGCCCUGCUCCAACAGCCUAUUGCCCAAGGCCUUUCUAAACGGGGCCUUGCGGUCAACUAGGAUAUCUCCAUGUCCUGACGGCAGCUUCCAGGGAGAAUGUUCCCUUUCGCGGGAAAGCCAGCUCCCAGCCGGGAUUCUGGCGGGAAUGGACCACUUCCGCCCUCUGUACGCAUGCUCUGCAGCGCUGGCGGGCUCCUCUCCCUUCCCUGUGUGGCGCUGUCUUUCAGGCUCUUCCGAAUGCGGCCCUUCCGUCAUCCAUUUAGAUUGUUUAGGUUCUCCAGGGAGUCCUACCAGAUGGUUAGGAAACGCCCUUCCUGACCUCCAUCUUUGCCGUCAUAGGCCUUUCUACAGCGUGCAGUUUUCUUCUCCAUUCCAUGUGCCUGCACCUCUUGCCAUAACUCCCACUGGUAUCAUCAAGCCACCAACUCAGAAGCCAGGUAACACCAGUAGAGGCACAGAAAACUGAGAGAGAAAACUGAAGAAAACCAGCUAAUGAAGAUUGAUAAUCAGGUUACUUUUAUGUGCAAUGAGAGCACACCUCUGCUGUACAUAAUAUAGAACAAACACAUCCAGAGCUGUCCCAGACCAGGAGAGAAAAUGGUGAAAUAUUUGUCUUGAGUCAGAGUGCAUUUUUGGCGGGGAUACUUCUGAGGGGAUUAUCUCUAGAGCUUCAAGCUUAUACUGUUUACCCAUAAGCCAAACAUCACAUCACAAAUAUCUCAUAAUUACAUUGUAUUAGAAUAUCAGGCAUUUGCUAGAGAUACAAACUAGGCAUUGAGAACAUCCGUCAAACCUUCGGUGCUAUGGCAUAUUUGGUAAAGCACGGC
rnacentral:lncRNA from 1 species